rnacentral:SRP_RNA from 1 species
UGGGUCCCGUGCGAUCUUUCGGUGUGAACCCUGUCAGGUCCUGACGGAAGCAGCAGUAAGCAUUUGACGGAUGUGCUGCGGGGCUGCCCG